rnacentral:rRNA from 1 species
AUUGAACGCUGGCGGCAGGCCUAACACAUGCAAGUCGAGCGCGCGGCGGACGGGUGAGUAAUGUAUGGGGACUGCCCGAUAGAGGGGGAUAACUACUGGAGACGGUGGCUAAUACCGCCUACUGUCGGAUACCCCAUGUGGGAUUAGCUAGUAGGUAAGGUAAUGGCUUACCUAGGCGACGAUCCAUAGCUGGUCUGAGAGGCUGAUCAGCCACACUGGAACUGAGACACGGCCCAGACUCCUACGGAGGCAGCAGUGGGGAAUAUUGCACAAUGGGCGCAAGCCUGAUGCAGCCAUGCCGCGUGUAUGAAGAAGGCCCUAGGGUUGUAAAGUACUUUCAGUCGGGAGGCGUUACCGACAGAAGAAGCACCGGCUAACUCCGUGCCAGCAGCCGCGGUAAUUC